rnacentral:rRNA from 1 species
AGUUCGGAUUGCAGGCUGCAACUCGCCUGUAUGAAGUCGGAAUUGCUAGUAAUCGCGGAUCAGCAUGCCGCGGUGAAUACGUUCCCGGGCCUUGUACACACCGCCCGUCACACCAUGAGAGCCGGGAACACCCGAAGUCCGUAGUCUAACCGCAAGGAGGACGCGGCCGAAGGUGGGUUUGGUAAUUGGGGUGAAGUCGUAACAAGGUAAC